rnacentral:piRNA from 1 species
UUUCUCUGUAUGUGCCCAGACUC